GGAUGUGAGGGCGAUCUGGCUGUGACAUCUGUCACCCCAUUGAUCGCCAGGGUUGAUUCUGGUGAUCUGGCUGGCUAGGCAGGUGUCCUCCUUCCUCCCUCACCACUCCAUGUGUGACCCUCCCUCCCGAAGCUGCUCUCUCAGUCAAAGAGGAUGACCAUCCCCAAUAGAGAAGGACCGUCCCUCUCGGUCAAGGGUAUACGAGCAGCUGCACUCCCCUGCUAGAACCUCCAAACAAGCUCUCAGGACCAGAGAUGUUUUUAUGUCCCUAAGAAAUGAUCACAUAGAAAACGAUGAAUUUUUAUAUCAUGUAGGAAUAACAU
rnacentral:sRNA from 1 species